UGGUGGAGUGAUUUGUCUGGUUAAUUCCGUUAACGAACGAGACCCCUGCCUGCUAAAUAGUCACUUGAAGGGUUCCCUUCUUGGAAGACUUCUUAGAGGGACUUUGCGCGUCUAGCGUAAGGAAGUUUGAGGCAAUAACA
rnacentral:rRNA from 1 species